rnacentral:siRNA from 1 species
GAAGAUUUGCGGUUCCGUUGUUG